UUGAACGCUGGCGGCAUGCCUAACACAUGCAAGUCGAACGCGAAAGAGGAGCAAUCCUUGAGUAGAGUGGCGGACGGGUGAGUAAUACGUAGGAAUCUGCCUUAGAGUGGGGGACAACCGCGCGAAAGCGUGGCUAAUACCGCAUAAUAUCUUCGGAUUAAAGGGGGCUAGCAAUAGCUCUCGCUCUAAGAUGAGCCUACGCCGGAUUAGCUAGUUGGUAGGGUAAUGGCCUACCAAGGCAACGAUCCGUAGCUGGUUUGAGAGAACGACCAGCCACACUGGAACUGAGAUACGGUCCAGACUCCUACGGGAGGCAGCAGUGGGGAAUAUUGGACAAUGGGGGAAACCCUGAUCCAGCAAUGCCGCGUGUGCGAUGAAGGCCUGCGGGUUGUAAAGCACUUUCGUUGGGGAAGAAAUACUUGUAGCUAAUACCUGCAAGGGUUGACGUUACCCAAAUAAGAAGCACCGGCUAACUCUGU
rnacentral:rRNA from 1 species